AGAGUUUGAUCCUGGCUCAGAACGAACGCUGGCGGCGUGCUUAACACAUGCAAGUCGUACGAGAAAGCUCCUUCGGGAGUGAGUAGAGUGGCGCACGGGUGAGUAACACGUGGGUAAUCUCCCUUCAAGCUUGGGAUAACUCACCGAAAGGUGGGCUAAUACCGGUUAAUAUUUGUUGUUGCUAGGACGACAAAUCAAAGGCGGCUUCGGCUGUCGCUUGGAGAUGGGCCCGCGUCCCAUUAGCUAGUUGGUAGGGUAAGAGCCUACCAAGGCGACGAUGGGUAGCUGGUCUGAGAGGAUGAUCAGUCACACUGGAACUGAAACACGGUCCAGACUCCUACGGGAGGCAGCAGUGGGGAAUAUUGCGCAAUGGGGGAAACCCUGACGCAGCAACGCCGCGUGAGUGAGGAAGGCCUUUGGGUCGUAAAGCUCUGUCAAAGGGGAAGAAGGUUAAUGGUUUAAUAGAUGGUUAACUUGACGUACCCUAAAAGAAGCACCGCUAACU
rnacentral:rRNA from 1 species